rnacentral:rRNA from 1 species
UGUGGAACUUCAAAAUCAGCUGCCACCCCAAAAUACAUACACACCCACCGGGUUCACUUACACGUAAGCCACUGGCACGCAUUUUUUCGGUUGGGGCGACCUUGGAGAAAAACAAAUCCUCCAAAAAUUGGACCAUCACUCUAGACUAAGAGCAACCCCUCAAAGUGCUAACAGCAACCAGACCCAAUACAAUUGAUCAAUGGACCAAGCUACCCCA